GACGAACGCUGGCGGCGUGCUUAACACAUGCAAGUCGAACGAUGAAGCUGGAGCUUGCUCCAGUGGAUUAGUGGCGAACGGGUGAGUAACACGUGAGCAAUCUGCCCUUGACUCUGGGAUAACUGCGGGAAACUGUAGCUAAUACCGGAUACGACACCUUGGGGCAUCCCGGGGUGUGGAAAGAAUUUCGGUCAAGGAUGAGCUCGCGGCCUAUCAGCUUGUUGGUGAGGUAAAGGCUCACCAAGGCGACGACGGGUAGCCGGCCUGGGAGGGUGACCGGCCACCCUCGAACUGUGACACGGUCCAGACUCCUACGGGAGGCAGCAGUGGGGAAUAUUGCACAAUGGGCGAAAGCCUGAUGCAGCAACGCCGCGUGAGGGAUGACGGCCUUCGGGUUGUAAACCUCUUUUAGCAGGGAAGAAGCGAAAGUGACGGUACCUGCAGAAAAAGCACCGGCUAACUACGUGCCAGCAGCCGCGGUAA
rnacentral:rRNA from 1 species